AUUGAACGCUGGCGGCAGGCCUAACACAUGCAAGUCGAGCGGAUGAAGGGAGCUUGCUCCUGGAUUCAGCGGCGGACGGGUGAGUAAUGCCUAGGAAUCUGCCUGGUAGUGGGGGAUAACGUCCGGAAACGGGCGCUAAUACCGCAUACGUCCUGAGGGAGAAAGUGGGGGAUCUUCGGACCUCACGCUAUCAGAUGAGCCUAGGUCGGAUUAGCUAGUUGGUGGGGUAAAGGCCUACCAAGGCGACGAUCCGUAACUGGUCUGAGAGGAUGAUCAGUCACACUGGAACUGAGACACGGUCCAGACUCCUACGGGAGGCAGCAGUGGGGAAUAUUGGACAAAGGGCGAAAGCCUGAUCCAGCCAUGCCGCGUGUGUGAAGAAGGUCUUCGGAUUGUAAAGCACUUUAAGUUGGGAGGAAGGGCAGUAAGUUAAUACCUUGCUAUUUUGACGUUACCAACAGAGUAAGCACCGGCUAACUUCGUG
rnacentral:rRNA from 1 species